rnacentral:misc_RNA from 1 species
GAAGUGCGAUAAGUGUCAUGACUUGCAGAUUCCCGAGAGCUGACAAAUCUCUGAAUGCAAAUGGCGGUCGUCACAACGGCCAUGGAUUGCAGAGUGUAGUUGUUCAUACUCAUCAUCCCUCUCUUCAACGGACAUAUGACUUCCGAAGAGCAGUUGGGGAUCUGCGCUUGCGACUUCCCUCGCGAGUGUGAAGCAGCUUCAUAUGAGGGCAGAGGCAUUUCUCCUUCGAGCAAAUGCCUCUGACGCUUCGGAUUAUGCACCAUCACCAUGUGUGUGCGGAGCGAGCGGAAAUCCCUCCAUUUCGAGAAGCACGUGAAACCGUUUUUUCCAAGCCACCUCUGCGAUGCAGGAGUACCCGCUGAACUUAA